UGGCUCUGGCAUCGAUGAAGAACGCAGCGAAACGCGAUAAGUAAUGUGAAUUGCAGAACUCAGUGAAUCAUCGAAUCUUUGAACGCACAUUGCGCCCGCCGGUACUCCGGCGGGCAUGCCUGUUCGAGCGUCGUCUCAACCCUCAAGCUCAGCUUGGCGUUGGGGAUCGGCCCUGGCCGCCUCUCGGGGCGGUGGGCCGGCCCUGAAAUUCAGUGGCGGUCUCGCCGCGGCCCUCUGCGUAGUAGCAACACCUCGCACCGGGACGUGGCGCGGCCACGCCGUGAAACCCCCGACCUUGCACAGGUCGACCUCGAAUCAGGUAGGGAUACCCGCUGA
rnacentral:misc_RNA from 1 species